rnacentral:rRNA from 1 species
UACAGAGGUCUCAAGCGUUGUUCGGAUUCAUUGGGCGUAAAGGGCGCGUAGGCGGCGGGGUAAGUCGGGUGUGAAAUCCCAGAGCUCAACUCUGAAACUGCACUCGAUACUGCUCUGCUUGAGGACUGGAGAGGAGACUGGAAUUCACGGUGUAGCAGUGAAAUGCGUAGAUAUCGUGUGGAAGACCAGUGGCGAAGGCGGGUCUCUGGACAGUUCCUGACGCUGAGGCGCGAAGGCCAGGGGAGCAAACGGG